GAUGAACGCUGGCGGCGUGCCUAAUACAUGCAAGUCGAGCGAACAGACGAGGAGCUUGCUCCUCUGACGUUAGCGGCGGACGGGUGAGUAACACGUGGAUAACCUACCUAUAAGACUGGGAUAACUUCGGGAAACCGGAGCUAAUACCGGAUAAUAUAUUGAACCGCAUGGUUCAAUAGUGAAAGACGGUUUUGCUGUCACUUAUAGAUGGAUCCGCGCCGCAUUAGCUAGUUGGUAAGGUAACGGCUUACCAAGGCGACGAUGCGUAGCCGAACUGAGAGGGUGAUCGGCCACACUGGAGCGGAGACACGGACCAGACUCCUACGGGAGGCAGCAGUAGGGUAUCUGCCGCAAUGGGCGAAAGCCUGACGGAGCAACGCCGCGUGUGUGAUGAAGGUCUUCGGAGCGUAAAACUCUGUUAUUAGGGAAGAACAAAUGUGUAAGUAACCAUGCACGUCUUGACGGUACCUAAUCAGAAAGCCACGGCUAACUACGUG
rnacentral:rRNA from 1 species